rnacentral:misc_RNA from 1 species
AUAACACAUGAGAGAAGUACGAGAAAGGGGAGCAAUCCCUGAGUAAAGUGGCUAUCCCGUGAGUAACACGUGACUACCUACCUUCGAGUGGGGGAUAACUCCGGGAAACCGGGGCUAAUACCGCAUAACAUCGCAAGAUCAAAGCAGCAAUGCGCUGGAAGAGGGGGUCGCGGCUGAUUAGCUAGUUGGUGAGGUAACGGCUCACCAAGGCGAAGAUCGGUACCCGGCCUGAGAGGGCGCACGGACACACUGGAACUGAAACACGGUCCAGACUCCUACGGGAGGCAGCAUUGGG